rnacentral:lncRNA from 1 species
AAUUGAUAAUUGAGAUAGAAAUUGGGGAAGGAAAUUAGAGAAGAAGAAACUUGGGGAAGAAGAAGAAUACAGAGAUAAGAGAGAUUCUGAAGAUGAUGACGACAAAGUGAACUAGGUUUUUGCUGGGAAUGUGGGAGGGCGAUUACUGUUGGUGGUGAGAUGGGUUUUUGGAAGACGAUGAAGAAGAAAACAAUUUAAAAAACAAAAGACGAUGAUUUGGCUUGGGUUUGGGGGCUGGUGAGUUACAGC